ensembl:lncRNA
CAGAACUGUUGUCCUUGGAAUGACCUGGGUCCAUACCCACCUCUUAUCUGUGGGGACCACACAGUGGUCUAUCUCCCUCCACCAUUCAGAUCUUCACCUUCUCCAAGAGAAACUAGGCCCCAGCUGCAUGGAGCGUCUAGGAGCUGAGCCAGCAGGGGCAGUAUCUGUCUAUCCAAGAUGAGACAAACGUGCCUGGCACCAGCCUCGAAGCAGAGGUGACCUCAGCAGUUCAGCAAGUACUUGAAGAUGUCCAUUAAUUACCCCAUCCAUCCUGACCUGGCGUCCCCACACUCCAGAG